GGAGGGAGAGAUGGCCGAGAGG
rnacentral:tRNA from 1 species